rnacentral:rRNA from 1 species
GUUUAAGCAGCCGCGGUAAUACGUAGGUGGCAAGCGUUGUCCGGAUUUAUUGGGUUUAAAGGGUGCGUAGGCGGUUGAUUAAGUCAGUUGUGAAAUACGGCAGCUUAACUGUCGAGGUGCAAUUGAUACUGGUUGACUUGAGUACAGACGAGGUAGGCGGAAUUGACGGUGUAGCGGUGAAAUGCAUAGAUAUCGUCAAGAACACCGAUAGCGAAGGCAGCUUACUAGACUGUAACUGACGCUGAGGCACGAAAGUGUGGGGAUCAAACAGGAUUAGAUACCCUGGUAGUCC